rnacentral:rRNA from 1 species
CCUACGGGAGGCAGCAGUGGGGAAUAUUGGACAAUGGGGGCAACCCUGAUCCAGCCAUGUCGCGUGUGUGAAGAAGGCCCUCGGGUUGUAAAGCACUUUCAGUGAGGAAGAACGCCUGGUGGUUAAUACCCAUCAGGAAAGACAUCACCCACAGAAGAAGCACCGGCUAACUCCGUGCCAGCAGCCGCGGUAAUACGGAGGGUGCGAGCGUUAAUCGGAAUUACUGGGCGUAAAGCGCGCGUAGGUGGCUUGAUAAGCCGGUUGUGAAAGCCCCGGGCUCAACCUGGGAACGGCAUCCGGAACUGUCAAGCUAGAGUGCAGGAGAGGAAGGUAGAAUUCCCGGUGUAGCGGUGAAAUGCGUAGAGAUCGGGAGGAAUACCAGUGGCGAAGGCGGCCUUCUGGACUGACACUGACACUGAGGUGCGAAAGCGUGGGUAGCAAACAGGAUUAGAUACCCUUGUAGUC